rnacentral:misc_RNA from 1 species
GUGAAUCAUCGAAUCUUUGAACGCAAAUUGCACUCUCUUCGGAGAGUAUGCCUGUUUGAGGGUCAUCCUAGAAAAAAUCGACCUAGUUGCUGUUUUCGCGGUGACAUUCGUCGGCCAUUGUGUCAUCUUACACCUUUGGGUUUUACGCGGCUUACAAUUUUCUUUACGAUUCCACGACCGUUUCUAAGAUAUUUCCUUCUUACACGUUUACGUUAUCGCUCUUUAUUAGACGUGGCCGUUGCAUCGGCUCCCGUCCAUCAAUAUUUCGUUAACUGACCUCAGA